GAAAGAUUGCCGGCGGGUGGGGAUUAAGUGUCCGGUUGUGCCGGGGAUUCUGCCGAUCACGACGUAUCGGAAUUUUAAGUUUAUGACUGAGACGUGCCGGACGUUCGUGCCGGCGAAGGUGAUGGAGGCGGUGGAGGCGAAUAAGGGGGAUGAUAAGGCGUUGGCGGCGUAUGGUGUGGUGCAGGCGACAGAGAUGUGUAGGCGGAUAUUGGAUAGCGGGGUGCGGGAGCUGCAUUUUUAUACCAUGAAUAGGGAGGGACCGGCGGUGGCGGUGCUGAG
rnacentral:misc_RNA from 1 species